rnacentral:rRNA from 1 species
UGCAGAAUCCCGUGAACCAUCGAGUCUUUGAACGCAAGUUGCGCCCGAAGCCGUCAGGCCGAGGGCACGUCUGCCUGGGCGUCUCAC